ACCAAGCCGUUCCCCAAGAAUUUCAGACAGUAAGUAUAAAAAUAAAUAAUGCUGCGUUUGACAUAACACAGUAUUUCCAGUUUAAGAUGUCCUACUCUAGGCAUAGUCACAGGACAUGAAAACACAAAGUGGUAUUUAAAACUCUGCCUUUUCCCAUUCUUAUACCAUUGAUAGUGUACAUAAAGUAACUUUAUAUAGCUUUCUCUCAGAUUUAGUCACCAGUCCUUGCUUAGUUUUAAAGUAUGGGCAUUAUCUUGAAAUGACAGCAUUCAUUUUCACAAUUAAAGUCUUUCCCUCUUAACCGUCGUUGAGAGGGACUGUUGGAGUGUAAAACAUUUGUGGAAACUAGUAAGUCGUUUGUGCUUCACAAACAGCAAGCAAGGGUGAUACUGAGAAGAAAAAGGCAAGUGGUUUUAGGGGUCUUGUCUCUAAAGAGGGGUUUCCAGGUGCUGAGUCUUCCGAGAUGAUACCUUCUUUCAGUUCUACGCUGCUAUGUCAGAGUCCGACUAAGCAAUGCUACCUUCCAGUUCACACUCUGCAUUCACUCUGUCCCUUCAGUUCACACUCUGCAUUCACUCUGUCCCUUCAGUUCACACUGCAUUCACUCUCUCCCUUCAGUUCAUACUCUGCAUUCACUCUGUCCCUUCAGUUCACACUCUGCAUUCACUCUGUCCCUUCAGUUCACACUCUGCAUUCACUUUGUCCCUUCAGUUCACACUGCAUUCACUCUCUCCCUUAGUUCACACUCUGCAUUCAUUCUGUCUCUUGUGUUCCUAGGCUUUGUCCGACAGUGAAACCUUUCUGCAUAGCUACUCAGAGUAAUAUCAAAAUAGCUACAAUGCAUUUUUAAAUAGUAGUAUUGUGUACUUUUAAAAUCUUGAAUGUAUCAACGUUCACAGAUAAUGAAAUAUCCACUAAGCAUAGAAAAAGGCUAGUAUAGUUUGUAGUUGUCAUAUCCUGGAAGGUUUUGUUUUAUACUACCUGACACAGAAAACCACAGGGUACUCUGUUUGGGUACAGAGUAAGAAUUCAACAGAAAUUCAUAAAACUAAUUGAGAGGUUUGUUUCUAAAGAUAAUUGUAGAAUGAAUCUAAAAUAUGUUUUGUUUAAUAAGAUACUGGUGUGAUGUGUAUAAGUUCUAGUUUUUGUGUGCUGGGCAUGGUGGCCGUUGUGGGUGGAGGCAGGAUGAUCCCAAAUUCAAUACCUACAAACAGAACUGAACUCUGG
rnacentral:lncRNA from 1 species